CAGUAGCCGCGGUAAUACGUAGGUCCCGAGCGUUGUCCGGAUUUAUUGGGCGUAAAGCGAGCGCAGGCGGUUAGAUAAGUCCGAAGUUAAAGGCUGUGGCUUAACCAUAGUACGCUUUGGAAACUGUUUAACUUGAGUGCAAGAGGGGAGAGUGGAAUUCCAUGUGUAGCGGUGAAAUGCGUAGAUAUAUGGAGGAACACCGGUGGCGAAAGCGGCUCUCUGGCUUGUAACUGACGCUGAGGCUCGAAAGCGUGGGGAGCAAACAGGAUUAGAUACCCGUGUAGUCCCUGUCUCUUAUACA
rnacentral:rRNA from 1 species